rnacentral:rRNA from 1 species
GACGAACGCUGGCGGCGUGCUUAACACAUGCAAGUCGAACGGAAAGGCCCUGCUUUUGUGGGGUGCUCGAGUGGCGAACGGGUGAGUAACACGUGAGUAACCUGCCCUUGACUUUGGGAUAACUUCAGGAAACUGGGGCUAAUACCGGAUAGGAGCUCCUGCUGCAUGGUGGGGGUUGGAAAGUUUCGGCGGUUGGGGAUGGACUCGCGGCUUAUCAGCUUGUUGGUGGGGUAGUGGCUUACCAAGGCUUUGACGGGUAGCCGGCCUGAGAGGGUGACCGGCCACAUUGGGACUGAGAUACGGCCCAGACUCCUACGGGAGGCAGCAGUGGGGAAUAUUGCACAAUGGGCGGAAGCCUGAUGCAGCAACGCCGCGUGCGGGAUGACGGCCUUCGGGUUGUAAACCGCUUUCGCCUGUGACGAAGCGUGAGUGACGGUAAUGGGUAAAGAAGCACCGGCUAACUACGUGCCAGCAGCCGCGGUGAUACGUAGGGUGCGAGCGUUGUCCGGAUUUAUUGGGCGUAAAGGGCUCGUAGGUGGUUGAUCGCGUCGGAAGUGUAAUCUUGGGGCUUAACCCUGAGCGUGCUUUCGAUACGGGUUGACUUGAGGAAGGUAGGGGAGAAUGGAAUUCCUGGUGGAGCGGUGGAAUGCGCAGAUAUCAGGAGGAACACCAGUGGCGAAGGCGGUUCUCUGGGCCUUUCCUGACGCUGAGGAGCGAAAGCGUGGGGAGCGAACAGGCUUAGAUACCCUGGUAGUCCACGCUGUAAACGGUGGGUACUAGGUGUGGGGUCCAUUCCACGGGUUCCGUGCCGUAGCUAACGCUUUAAGUACCCCGCCUGGGGAGUACGGCCGCAAGGCUAAAACUCAAAGGAAUUGACGGGGCCCCGCACAAGCGGCGGAGCAUGCGGAUUAAUUCGAUGCAACGCGUAGAACCUUACCUGGGUUUGACAUGGGUCGGGAGUGCUCAGAGAUGGGUGUGCCUCUUUUGGGGUCGGUUCACAGGUGGUGCAUGCCUGUCGUCAGCUCGUGUCGUGAGAUGUUGGGUUAAGUCCCGCAACGAGCGCAACCCUUGUUCACUGUUGCCAGCACGUUAUGGUGGGGACUCAGUGGAGACCGCCGGGGUCAACUCGGAGGAAGGUGGGGAUGACGUCAAGUCCUCAUGCCCCUUAUGUCCAGGGCUUCACGCAUGCUACAAUGGCUGGUACAGAGAGUGGCGAGCCUGUGAGGGUGAGCGAAUCUCGGAAAGCCGGUCUCAGUUCGGAUUGGGGUCUGCAACUCGACCUCAUGAAGUCGGAGUCGCUAGUAAUCGCAGAUCAGCAACGCUGCGGUGAAUACGUUCCCGGGGCU